GCUCGCUUAAUUCAGUUGGGAGAAGGUUUCCCUUACAAGGAAGAGGUCGUAAGUUCAAGUCUUACAGCGAGCA
rnacentral:tRNA from 1 species